UAGUCAGAUCUGAAUCCAAUGGCCGCCUCCGACGUGCUGGCCUUUGCCAUCCAGAUCGCAUCGCCCCUGCUCGCCUAGACCACACGGCCACCACCCUUUUCCGUCAAGAACGCGCCGCCCUCGGUCGCCCCUGGUCGCGUGCUCUACUUGCCUCCCAGACUCCGGUGGCUGGUACUCGAUGUACCUCCUUCCCUUCGCCGUCCUCCUCCUCCUGCUGCUCCUCCUUCCCCACCCCGUUCUCGUCCUCCGACCCUCGUAGAUAUAGGAAGGAUGAUCCGUUGGAAACAGAUGUGCAUGCGCUGACGCCUAAUUAGCAUUUAAUAACCUACCUAUUGCAAAGUCGUCCCUUGUAGAAAGCUUGGAUGGCAUAAAGGGGUCCUUCAGUACCGAUCAAGGAAGCAAGAAGAGAAGUUUCUGCGAGUCUGCUAUAAAUUAUGGCCCAUCAAUCAGAUGCGGCGUCAUUUCGGGAUGGGAAGUGUACCCCAUUUCAAGACCUAACAAACACAACGAGAAGUGGUAAAUUAAUGCGCCUACAAUAUGCAGCUACUUCUCAUGCUCCUAUCUGACGUGUUACUUCUCAUGGAGUUGAAACAAUGAGUGUGGGACCACAAUGUGUAGAUCGUCUUCAACGAAUAAGGCAAAUGAUAAGGGACAGGCAGUCCCAACUGUCGAAGCAGCAGAAAGAUGAACUUAAUAGAGAGCAUCGUGGAGAACGUCAACAAAAGAAUAAUGAGGCAACCAGUGUCAAUGGAAACCUAUGAUUGCCUUUCACACCGUGCUCCAUGAUUAAGCUACCCGACGGCCGAGAUGUGCAUUCGUACUAAGUAAUUUUGUACAGACUGUUGAAAGGAUUGUCAUUUCCGGUUUUCGUUUCCGGAGAUACAGGUGGUAAGUUAGAAAAGAAAAUAGGUUAGCUGCUGAUCUUCUAACGUAUGUUAACAUUCAUUCGAGCUCAUUUGUCAGGUUCAUUCCACAUAAAUCAGAUAGGAACAACACAAUCCGCACUCACCAGGUUGCACACCUACGUAAAUGUAAAUUCAGAAGGUUUAUUCCACAAAACUCAGAUGGGAACAUCACAGUCUGCAGUCACUGGAGUGCAGACCAACAUAAAUGAAAACUCACCAGGUUGUUUCUGGUUAUUUAUUUCCACCAUCAUGUGUCCAUCGCGUGCUUCUGAUGUUCAGUUUUGCAAAUCUAUAUUGAAAUUAUAUUUUUAUUGUCGUAUAUUUUGUUCAUUCAGGUAUUUUCCAAGUAACUGGGAUGGGAACGACACAGUCCACACUCACUGGGUUGCAUACCCCAAAAAUUUUUAGGACAAUGGCAAUAUGUGAUAAAUAUAUGUCUCUGAUCAUUUCUUUAUUACAUAAAAGAUUCAUAAUUUCUGAAAAAUGAAAUUAUGGUUACCUGAUCAUCCCACUGCAUAUCCAUGUGUGGUGUUUGGUUGUUCAUUUUUGUAUCACACCAUUAUGUGAUCGUCAAAUCAGAUGCUGAUGUUCUGUUGUACAAAUUCAUAAUUAUUUUCCCAUUUUUCAGUGAACCAAACUCCAACCACCAGUUCACAAAUCGUACAUCAAUCGAAUUUUUCCACACAAACAAUUGGUGGCAGCUGUCCAUUUAAAGACAUGAAAAAUUCCAUUAAAAUAGGUGGCCUUGGCAUUUGCAGUUUGGAUGGGGCUAGGCCGUCCAUUGAACAACCACUAUGUUGUGAUUCGGUUCAGCGAAAGAAACAAUUGGAAACGGAUAGGCGAGCCCAAAUGACGUGGUGUUGCUGCUUGUGCUAACUUAUAUACUUGCAAAAAGAGUUUGAGAUGGUCUGUGAAUGCUCUGUAUUUUGGUGGCAGGCCAUUGCAUCAGUAGUAUAAUAUUUUGACAUGCCAUCUAAAAUGUAUGCGCUGCCCAAACUUGUGUUCUGUGAUGGCUAUUUUUUGCAAAAAUGAAACUGAUGGUAACUAAGUUCUAAGAGAAUUGAUAGUGGUGAUUAUGCAGUUCCUUUGUUAUAGCUUUU